rnacentral:rRNA from 1 species
AUGGAGUUCCUCAAGAUGCUAUCAAGUGCAUGCUGUUCUCAUUCUCUCUCCGGGAUGAUGCUCAUGCUUGGUAUUGAUCCUUGCCAUCAGGAUCAUUCAGUUGGAACGAGAUAUCACAAGCUUUCUUGGAUAAAUAUUUCCCACUACACAAGCAGUCCGCAAUUCGAGAUGAGAUCCUCAGCUUCGUUCGGCGUGAAGGCAAGAGCUUGUAUGAUGCUCGGGAGAGAGCUACAAUUAGUUGUUUUUGAUAUUGAGGAGUCACCUUUAGUUGAUAUUGAUCAUGUGCUGCUAGAGCUAGAUAUGGAGAAGUUCACCUUCGAUGAUGUUAGCCGCAUUGCUUCCUCAACACUUGAGCCUGAGAUGGAGAGCUUCAUGGUUGAGUAUGGUGAGGUGGAUUCAGAUGUCAAGGAGCCAAGCUCUACUAUUUCACUUGUUGACAUGAGUCCGGUUGAAAUUUCUACUACCACACCUCACUUGGUAUCUUCAAUUGAGGUAGUCCUGAAGCUUCUUCCUAACUAUCUCAGGUAUGAUCUUAGCUUUCUGGACAAGACAUGUCAUAUCGCUGAUAUUGCCUAUGCCCCAUGUGACUUGUUGUUGAUACAUGUUCCUGAUUUGAUCAAUAGAUAUACUUAUAUGAUAGGGUACUCUAUCGAUGACUUAGAGGGCAUUCUCUCUGUCACUUGUAUUGGCUUGGUUGUUGAGUGUGCUUUCAGGUUUUUGCUUGUGCAUGAUCCAUUACAUGCUGACCAGGUUCGAGGUGACAUUCCUUGGGACCCUGGUGGACUUAGAGCAUGGGGAUGA